UAUUUUUUUUCCUUUUCGUUUAGUUUAAAAAUGUUUCGUGCUAUGAAUUCAUAUGUUGUGUUUAGUUUUCAUAGUGUAUCGUGUUUUUUUUAUUUUUUUAUUGGUGUGUUUUACCAUUUUUCAAGCGGCGCGGUGGACGUUUCUUACGUUACUGAACAUAAAAAUAAAUAAUAUGUUCUCUGAGGUUCCUAACAUGGGUGAAUAACCUUUGAUAUUGUCGAUAGAGGUUGGUUUUGAUCAGACAUUGGGACUUGCCUGGUGACGUGACGAGACGAGGAGUGACGUCACCAACGAUGAGCCUUAAAAGAGUGAACGGAAAACCUAUGGUGUUAUUCGUGAUGUGACUGACUUAUUGAUAAGCUAAUAAUGACUUCAAAAAUAACUAAAUUAACAUAUAAAUAAUUAUAGUAUAUUCAUCAGGCAAUUGAGAGGUUAAUAAGUGAUAAAAUAAUUACAUACUCUUUUUUAAGUCUUUCAUUUGAACUGAAAAUCCAAAAUGGCGACAUUCCUCUCCAGUCCAUCUAACGUCUUCGUUAUAUAUCAUCUCCUCCACGGCCUUAUCCACCUCCUGAUCCACCUCAACAGCCGCCACAGCCUUCCCCUUGACCUGCACGGCCUAUUCCCCGACCUACAGGCUCAUCAUGGACCUUAAUGUUAUGGUGGAACAGGUGGACGUUGUACGACAUUUUUCGGCUGCAUCGUCAGAAUUAUCCAUCUAGCACCCGCUAUAGAGCCUUUAACUUGUAUUUAAUAAUCCUAGGCUACUAAUUAAGGUUCUAUAUUGUGUUUUCUGCACUAAAGUAAUGAGGAAAAUCUACGUAUGGGAUAAUAGCGAAGAUAUAACUGUGACAAGUGUACGACAAUCAUUGCUUGAGUACGGUAGUUUUGGUUGGCCCUUCCUCGUGGGCCAUGGCUGUGACCUGACCUUCUGACCUGACCUCACAGUGCCUCAGUCCAUGAAGGAGUAGCCAUGAAUGACCUCAAUAAAGAACGCGAGAAGUCCAAACAUGAGACACAGGAGGAGGAGGAGGAGGAGGAGGAGGGCCUGAUACAACAAGAAUGUGGCUUCACCUACAGGGGAUGCAUUUGAGAUUCAGGUUUGCAAGCUAUUUCGAGUUGAAGGAAUGACUUACAGUGUGUCCCUUCUCGCCUUCCCUUCGCGAGGCGUCUCGGGAGAAGUUUCAGCUGCGUACGAAGACAAUGGAUACGGAUAUAAAUAUGUAAAUAAAUAUGCAGAUAAAUUAUGCUGCCUAGUUUAUUGUAAUUGCUGUAAAGUGAUAAAAUGUGCUUGUUUAUAAGAUCAUAUGACUAAAGGACAAAGUACAGUCCUACUGGAGAGGUAAUUCAAAAUAAUAUCCAAUAGCCUUGCUCGUGCCGACAUCAUCAAAAGUAGCUUUAUGUAUAGUUCAUUAUUUUACAGACUAUCCAUUACUAACAAGCAUAUAAGGUUUUGAAUGAUGAAGUUUAAUUAUUGAGGAUGGUUACCUAUGAAAAAUAUAUACCAUACUACUAGCUAAGCCACCUGGGGCACGAUAAGGGUUACAAUAAGCUAUCGUCCCUGCACUAACUACUAUGUGAUUGCUGAGUCUGUUCCAUUUCCCCACCACCCUAUUACUAAACCAAUGCUUGCCUAUAUCUCUCCUAAAUCUAUACUUUUCUAAUUUGAAUCCAUUACUGCGAGUUCUAUCCUGCUGGCUAAUUCUCAGUACUUUACUUAUAUCGCCUUUGUUGUAACCCUUGACCCAUUUGAAUGCUUCUAUCAGAUCUCCCCGCACUCUUCGUCUUUCUAGUGAAUGUAAGUUUAGAUGUUUCAGCCUAUCUUGAUAUGGGAGGUUCCUCAGCCCCUGAAUCAUCUUGGUCAUCCUCCUCUGAACUGAUUCUAGCAAGAUGAUGUCCAUUCUGUAGUGUGGGCACCAAAACUGGACAGCAUAAUCUAAGUGUGGCCUAACUAACGCUAAAUAAAGUCUGAGGAUGACCUCUGCACUCCUGUUGGUUACCGUCCUGUUAAUAAAGCCUAAUACCCUGUUAGCCCUAUUCCUCGCACUAAUACAUUGCUUCCUUAGUUGUAGGUCAGAGUUCACCAACACUCCUAAAUCCUUUUCACACUCUGCUCUGCCUAUCAUGUGGAGGCUAAACUAUACCCGUGUAAUGGGUUGUGUGUUCCUACACUCAGUACGCUACACUUGGUGAUGUUAAAAUUCAUCUGCCAUUUCUCUGACCAAGCUGAUCACAGUUUGUUGAAAUCCUCCUGCAGUGCUCUAGCAUCCUCUUCUUACCUGGAUUUCUUACCUGGAUGACCUUUCUCUAUGAGCCAUGCUGGGUGAACCGUCAGGCAAAGAACUGAAGGGUCUCACCAACCAAUGCACCAGCCUAUCCAAGCUCAUCAAAACAACUGUACAUAAUCCAGUAAGACACAUAGGCUGGAAAGUACAUUGGGAAUUCAUUUCAUAGGGUCAGGGAUAACUAAGGAAGCAUUCACUAGGUAAGCCUUGGUAGGGCAGUCGACCAUCAACCAAAAGGCUCCAGAUGUUCCCUCCAACGGUUAGCCGUGACCUGCUCUUUAUAUUUUGUUUUUGGCAGAUAUAGGUUUUUGUGGGGGAGGGGGUCCAAACCCCUCCCCCCACUGGCCAAGAUCAGGGGCUGAACCAACUGCUCACCAAAGGCCUGGUGGGACGGGGCAGCGAACUGUCAU